AUAUUAGAAGAAUUUGACACAUCCAAUCACAAACAGAUGCAGAAAAACUAAUCCAUGCAUUUGUUAAUUCAAGGCUGGAUUACUGCAACUCUUUAUUAUCAGGUUGCCCCAAUAAGUCCAUUAAAACGCUCCAAUUAAUUCAGAACGCUGCAGCACGAGUACUUACAGGAACUAGAAAAAGAGAUCACAUCUCUCCUGUACUAGCUUCUCUGCAUUGGCUCCCUGUAAAAUGUAGAAUUGAAUUUAAAAUCCUCCUCCUCACCUAUAAAGCUCUUCAUGGUCAGGCCCCUUCAUAUAUUAAAGAGCUCAUAGUACCCUAUUACCCCUCUAGAACACUAUGUUCUCUGAAUGCUGGGCUACUUGUGGUUCCUAUAGUCUCUAAAAGUAGAACAGGAGCCAGAGCCUUCAGUUACCAAGCUCCUCUCCUGUGGAACCAGCUUCCAGUUGUGGUUCGGGAGGCAGACACCCUAACCACAUUCAAGAGUAGGCUUAAGACAUUCCUCUUUGAUAAAGCUUAUAGUUAGGGCUGGAUCAGGUGAGUCCUGAACCAUCCCUUAGUUAUGCUGCUAUAGGCCUAGACUAUCGGGGGAUUUCCCAUGGUGCACUGAGCUACUCUCUUCCUCUCUCUUUCUGCACUCAUUCAUGUCCCUUUCAUGCAUGUUACUAACUCCACUUCUUCCCCGGAGUUCUUGUGCUUUCUCGUCUCGCAGGUUCUCAUGGAUCCUGGUGGAGCCUCCUGCCAUGGUCCUGCUUGACUGCCAUUGCCAAUACUGUUGUUGCUGUGCACCUGUCUGUCUGUCUGUCUGUCUGUCUCUCUCUCUCUCUCUCUCUCUCUCUCUCUCUCUCUCACCCCAACUGGUCGAGACAGACGACCACCCACCUAGAGCCGGAGGAUCUGUCCUAGGUUUCUGCCUUUUAACAGGCAGUUUUUCCUUGCCCUUGUCGCCAAGUGCUUGCUCAUGGUGGUACUGUUGGGUCUCUGUAAUUAAUGUUAAAGAGUUCGGUCUAGACCUGCUCUAUUUGAAAAGUGUCCUGAGAUAACUUCUGUUAUGAAUUGGCGCUAUACAAAUAAAAUUGAAUUGAAU